AGUGAACGCUGGCGGUAGGCCUAACACAUGCAAGUCGAACGGCAGCACAGUAAGAGCUUGCUCUUACGGGUGGCGAGUGGCGGACGGGUGAGGAAUACAUCGGAAUCUACUUUUUCGUGGGGGAUAACGUAGGGAAACUUACGCUAAUACCGCAUACGACCUACGGGUGAAAGCAGGGGAUCUUCGGACCUUGCGCGAUUGAAUGAGCCGAUGUCGGAUUAGCUAGUUGGCGGGGUAAAGGCCCACCAAGGCGACGAUCCGUAGCUGGUCUGAGAGAAUGAUCAGCCACACUGGAACUGAGACACGGUCCAGACUCCUACGGGAGGCAGCAGUGGGGAAUAUUAGACAAUGGGCCCAAGCCUGAUCCAGCCAUACCGCGUGGGUGAAGAAGGCCUUCGGGUUGUAAAGCCCUUUUGUUGGUAAAGAAAAGCAGCAGGUUAAUACCCCGCUGUUCUGACGGUACCCAAAGAAUAAGCACCGGCUAACUUCGUG
rnacentral:rRNA from 1 species